GCCACAAUAUCAUCUGAUGGCCCCUAUGCACUACAGGAGUAUUAUAUCCGUCAUACUUGAUGCCGAAGGAGGGAAAGAAAGAGUCAUAAAAUGUCUUGAAGCUGCAAUUCAAAGAAGAGUAUGCAAGGUGAGUGAAGUAAUAUUUCUGUGCUCAAUAUUAGCACAUGUAUUAAUGCUGAUAGAGUCCUAUAAUUGCAGUCAACCAAUAUUUCUCGCGCACGCGCACAGAUAUGAGACUAUGUUGUAGUUAACCCUUGGCACUCUUUAAUUUUUCUCAGCAAUUUCCGUAGUAAUCAAGAAUGUCACAUAACAGAAACAGAGGUUAUAAAAUAAAAAUCUUAUCACAUUGAUUUUUGGAUAUACUUCUCCAUGUCGUUCACGGUUGAUGUAACUCUCAUCUAUGAUGGAUUGGUUUUUGCUUCUUAAUAACCAUCCAAUUUAUAACUUCUAGUCUACUGAGAUGUUAUGGGGAUGACAUCUAAAUAAUUCACCAUCACAGAAUAGCAUCAUUAGCUGAUAUCAAUCUUCUUAGCUUCCUGUUACACAUACAGCUACACCUUGAUUGCUUUGCAAAUCAUUUAAUUUUAUGUCCUGAAAUUUAUCUUCUUGAUCAUUUAAUCACAUAUGUGUGUAUUUUUUAACAUGAACUAAGGGUCUGAGCUUAGAGCUAUGUGCCAAGGACAGAGUAGGAUUGCUGUCCGAAGUAACAAGGGUUCUGAGAGAG
rnacentral:misc_RNA from 1 species